rnacentral:misc_RNA from 1 species
GGAAGUAAAAGCCGUAACAAGGUCUCCGUUGGUGAACCAGCGGAGGGGUCAUUACAGAGUUUUCACAACUCCCAACCCUUGCGAACCGUACCCAUUCUGUUCUCGUUGCUUCCGGCGGGGGGGACGGGGGGGCCCGAAACGGCCUCCCCGCCCCGCCCGCCGGGGGCGGCGGGCCCUACGAACCUUUAUAUCUCAACCACCAGAAACCGUCUGAGAAAACAAACAAAAUAAUCAAAACUUUCAACAACGGAUCUCUUGGCUCUG